UUGUUGGUAGAGUGAAUAAUUUGCUAUGUAAACAGUGUAAUUUAGAAAUAAAAAUCAUGACAGAAACUGUGAGAGAGGCUGUAAAUGUGUGGGGGUUUUCUCUGGACAUAAGGCACUUGAAAGGGGACUUUAUUAUUUAUAAGUACAUUACAGGACAUUAGAGACGGAUAGAAAGGGGGGGGGUUCAUAGAAAAGAUGGGCCCAUUGCCUCACCUGUAUGUACAUGGGCUAAAUAAAACCCCUUUUUACUGAGCAAAAACUACUAGAGCGCCACAGGAUUUUCUGCAUAAAAGAGGGAAAGGUGCGACCCCAACCUGUCAGCUCGCAGUAGUGCGACUUGGUUUAUUUGGUUUGGCCGAGUGAAUAACUUGAUCUUUCUUCCCUUAACCUGGCGGUUCUGUGCCUGGAUAUCACCCUCAUCCCCGGCUCCUCAUAUAUACACUCUGAGAGAGAAUGAUGGUUGCCUCUCUGACAUGUCUGCUAAAACGUCCCUGUAUUAGUUGCUUAAGCUAAAUACAGGGUAUGUAAAUCUGCAAAAAUGGAGACCACAUCCCCACAUCCAGGCUCUUCCUUAUGUUCUCCUGACUCUCUAAAGGAUACUGUUCCUAAACAGUGGAUGACAGUACUGGAGUCAUUAGCUGCACAUGCUGGAAGAGCACGGCACCAACAGAAGUCUCUUCUCCAGAGAAGCUCUCUUACUGGCUUCUGUACAAAGAGGAAAGUAAGAAAGCCAAGUUGGACAUUGGAGACACCAUCAGGGUUCGAGGCAGCAUCAAGGUGUUUCAGGAUCAAAGAGAGAUCGUGGCCUCUGUUUUCUACAAAGUGGAGAACCCUAAAUUGGAUAUACAAAUGGCAAGGAUGUUAGAUCUUCCCUACAUGUACAGAAAUGUCUAUGACAAGCCGUUUGCUAUCCCGGAGCAUUUAAAAAAAAUUAAUCCGCAGGACAGACCGAUCACCAUAUUGUAACACAAUCACAUCUGAUCAUGCUAUUGAUAACGGGAAUUAGAAAGUGUUGACUCCUUAAUUGCUAUUGCUAGCCGUCCAGUUAGUGAUUUCAAGACUGAGUCCAUGGAAAGUCCAAACAAAUCCGCAGCAUAUUCAAAGAAGCCAUCCAGCUGCUGCUUAAGGAAGGUUACAUUUUCCAAAAGGACCAAAAUCGGGAGGUUUAUCAGGUCACUGAUCAGGAUAAAGAUCUACACAAACUUACCCUUAAUAUCAUUAAAGAAGACUGCAGAAGGCAAAAGCGUAGAGGACACGUGGCGAUUUGCGACCGAUGGUCGCACGCAUGAACAAACUUUCAAUUGGCCACUAACCGUUCAGGGCUGAAACGGCAGAUAAGGAGGCCUGAUGGUACCCAGCAGUCUCAUACUCUGGAAGAUGGUAUCCCAGGUGAAGGUGGAGAUGUUGGUGCAAACAGGAGUUGCGGAGGAUGAUCCGGCCUUUGUGCAGCAGCGAGAGCUGAUCUUGAAGCCCACAGUAUUGCCAACUGCCCGCUGAUGUUAUUUACCUAUGCUCAAUGGAAAUACCAUGGUGUUAUUAUUGGCUGGCUUACACACAUCCCAAUAUACUCACUUCAGCCAGCUGGAACUUAAGAAUGAAAAGCCCGGAACGCUGUUUCUGUCCCUUGGUGUAGCUUCAUCUUCCUGGGCCCCAAGGAAAGACAGGGGCGGCUCUCCAUUAUGUGGCUGGAAUAAUUUUGCUGGUGGCUGCAUGAAAGGGAAAAAAUAAUUAUAGUGAAUAUGAUACAAAAUCUAUUGUGAACAGUUGGCCAUGUAUUUUAUAAUAUACAAUAAAGCCUGCAAUGGAAAUAUGCAACUUUUCA